rnacentral:rRNA from 1 species
UGGGGAAUAUUGGACAAUGGGCGCAAGCCUGAUCCAGCCAUGCCGCGUGUGUGAAGAAGGCCUUCGGGUUGUAAAGCACUUUAAGUUGGGAGGAAGGUUCGAUGGCUAAUAUCCAUCGGAAUUGACGUUACCAACAGAAUAAGCACCGGCUAAUUCCGUGCCAGCAGCCGCGGUAAUACGGAAGGUGCGAGCGUUAAUCGGAAUUACUGGGCGUAAAGCGCACGUAGGCGGUUACUUAAGUCGGAUGUGAAAGCCCUGGGCUUAACCUGGGAAUUGCAUCCGAUACUGGGUGACUAGAGUACGGUAGAGGGGGGUGGAAUUCCAGGUGUAGCGGUGAAAUGCGUAGAGAUCUGGAGGAACACCGGUGGCGAAGGCGGCCCCCUGGACUGAUACUGACGCU